rnacentral:misc_RNA from 1 species
GUAGGUGAACCUGCGGAAGGAUCAUUAACACGUAUCCAACGUAUCCACCCCUGUGGUCCUGUGCGCGUCUAUACAUGGAGUGAUAGAAACCGCUUUGCUACCUGCGAGGUGCAAAGAAAGAUUUCAUGAUCGGGAAUCUGAGUAACCCGCGAGGUUAUUGGGACCCGAUUGCGAUUUCGGUGACUGUCAGCACUCUGCGAGAGGGCAGCUCUAUGUAGCAGACGUUUUAACCAACCAUUUAACCCAAACU